UAGUUAAUUGAACAUUUUUUCUGUAUAUUCAAGGAAAAUAUCAAGAGACUGAGUGGACCCAAAAAUACAGAGUCUGUUAGGAUUGCUUUUAGUCCUGGCUAGCCAAGCAACCCUGCUGCAUCUCUCCCAGUUAGGGAAGGAGGGGAAGUGAAGCCCUGAAGCAUCAUUUGUGUGUUUAAAUGAGAACGCCUUGGUAUUUCUCCCCUUCCCUGUUGUGGUCUCUGUUUCAGUGGUCGGACUCAGAAGCAGGUUCUCGACUAUGUUAAAGAAGGAGGACAUAAGAAGGUGCAGUUUGAAAGGAAGCACAGCAAGAUUCAUUCUAUCCGGAGCCUUGCUUCACAGCCUACAGAACUGAAUUCGGAAGUGCUGGAGCAGUCUCAGCAGAGCGCCAGCCUUACAUUUGGAGAAGGUGCCGAAUCUCCAGGGGGCCAGAGCUGCCGGCAAGGAAAGGAACCGAAGGUUUCCGCCGGGGAGCCGGGGUCGCACCCGAGCCCUGCGCCGAGGAGAAGCCCCGCGGGUAACAAGCAGGCGGACGGAGCCGCCUCGGCGCCCACGGAGGAAGAGGAGGA
rnacentral:sRNA from 1 species